rnacentral:rRNA from 1 species
GACGAACGCUGGCGGCGUGCCUAAUACAUGCAAGUCGAACGCAGUGGGGACGGGUGAGUAACACGUGGGUAACCUCCCAUCAGAGGGGAUAACACUUGGAAACAGGUGCUAAACCGAUAUGGAAGGCUGGACCCGCGGUGUAUUAGCUAGUUGGUGGGGUAACGGCUCACCAAGGCCACGCUGCAUAGCCGACCUGAGAGGGUGAUCGGCCACACUGGGACUGAGAGCCGGCCCAGACUCCUACGGGAGGCAGCAGUAGGGAAUCUUCGGCAAUGGACGAAAGCCUGACCGAGCAACGCCGCGUGAGUGAAGAAGGUUUUCGGAUCGUAAAACUCUGUUGUUGGAGAAGCGGUAUCUAACCAGAAAGCCACGGCUAACUACGUGCCAGCAGCCGCGGUAAUUC